GGCCUAUCGAUCCUUUAGAC
rnacentral:snRNA from 1 species